UCUUCAGAAGUGCUUUCUGCUACAUGGCGUGAAGGCCGUUCUGGAAUUGCCAACCUUUCCUGUAGUGAAGUGGUGACACACUGUGAAUCAAAGCUGUCGUCAAUCGUUGAUCCUGAAAAUUUUAAAAGUAAAACUGUUCCGGCAAUCUUACCUAAUCCAACGCAAAUUUCGUCAUCAGAACUUAAAACAACCGUGUUAUCUCCAGGGUUUCUUAAAGCUGUCUGACGGUUCAGCUUACAAACUCGAUCAUAGAUUUGGUAAUUUUUUCUAGAAUUCUCUUCAAAACUAUUAGAUUUCACAUCACUAUCUUCAGUUGGAGUAGAUGAUUCCUCUGCAUUUUGAAGCCACUUACGAAUCAAAGAAUACUCAAUCAGAGAUUCAUCGACAGUGUCAGCAUUUUGAUUAGCGUUAGCUACAUCUUUUGAAGAGUCACACCGAAUGAGCUCUUCAUCAGAACUGUCAUCAACCAAAAUUGUAUGACCAGGAAGGCAAUUGCUUGUUGUCAAUGGUUUCUUUUUACAGGAACUAAAAAUGAAAGAUGCAGAGAUUUUUUGUUUUGAAGUUGUAUCUGGAGUCAUGAAUGGAUCUUUAUUUUCUAUUGCUUUUUUAUGCCUAGUCAAUGACAGCUUGCAGGCAUGGUCUGUGAAAUAAAGAAAUUUUUAACCAAGGGAAACACUGGCUUUAGAAAUAAACUUUUACUAACCUCUUGUAGGUUGCACAGGCGUUGUGUUUGAAGCAGUAGAAGAAACCUUCUUCUUACGCCUCAUCGUCAUUAAAGGAGACAGGCUGUCGUCAUCAGAUGACAUUACUUGCUGAAAUAAAACAAGAUCUCCUUUGAAAAGACUGAUACAACAGAAAGAUUUUUCGCUCACCGUGUGGGAGCAGGAAAUUAAAAUGUCCUCGUUUGAAGAAGAGGAGGUACUUUUUUACUGCACUAGGUUGGCACGCUAAUCUUUCGAUUGUCUUCGUUGCAUGCACAUAUAUAGCUUGGAAAAUGUCUUUUGUAUAUCGCAGAAACCAGUGAAAAUUGCUGUCGGUUGAACUCCGGCAGGUAUUACAAACAGGAAAGAACGAUACGAUUUAGCGAUUCAUAAUUUGAUUUCUGCAUUGCUGCAACGGAUUCAUGACGAGGUUGCUGAAAUGACCGCCAGAUGGACGACAGCUAUAGCUAGCAGCCUUAAUAGCAACUCACAAGCAUACUUCGUAGUUCAGACUUCAAUACUUCAAUAUAUUUAUACUUCAAAAUACUUAAAUAAUACUUGGUGUCGCAAGAAACAAACGAAAACCAGCGUCGUGAGUCCGGGCUGUCUACACGUAGUUAGUGGUUCCUCAUUCGGACAUCUCGGAUUUCAUCAGCCCCCUCUCGUUUUGCAUAGGAUUUUCUCAACAAUGAACCCCGCCAUUUGUUUACAACAACCGACAGCAGUUUUCUUUCGUUUUUCUUUUAUUUUGUCAUUGAAUUUUCUGUACCAUUUCUGGUCGCCAUUAUUUGUGCAUAUGUUCAUUGUCCAUCUUUUUCCGCUUAGA